rnacentral:rRNA from 1 species
UACAGAGGGUGCAAACGUUAAUCGGAUUUACUGGGCGUAAAGCGUACGUAGGUUGCUUAGCAAGUUGAAUGUGAAAGACCUGGGCUCAACCUAGGAAGGCCAUUCAAAACUACUAGGCUAGAGUGUGGGAGAGGAAAGCAGAAUUUCCGGUGUAGCGGUGAAAUGCGUAGAUAUCGGAAAGAAUGACAGUGGCGAAGGCG